UUAAAAACAAGAUAACUGAGACAAGUGUAAUCUUGUUUUAUGUUUUGAUGAGUUUGUUAAGUUUAGUAUGGAGUAUAGCUAGCCAGCAGCUGCUUGUGUGAUAGUUGGGAAUUUUGUUUAAUUUUUAACUUUUACUUUCUUUAGGUCACAAGCCUCAGCCUUUUACCCUAUCAUUUUGACUGGUCUUGAUGCAAAUAAUUGUAUCUGUUGAGUGGCGCUCCAUUCACUUCAUGGUUUGUUGUUUGACAAUUGAUCAUUUAUUUUGAUUUCAAUGCUAGAUUCAUUCGUCCAUUGGUAUUACUUCUGUUUCUGCUUAUAUACAAGUGAAGAAGAAAGAAGAAAGAAGAAAAAUUGUUUGCCUGGUUAUUAGAUUAACCUCAAAUUUAUAAAAAACAUUAUUCUGGCAUAUACAAAACGUCGGAAGAUAGUAAAAAGACGGGAGUAGUUAUCGCAUUAUGUAUCAAAACUUUUAUUUGUAUUUUAUAUUAUUAUAUAGCCUUAGUAGCCGAAAAGCACUUGUUACCACCUCGAAAA